rnacentral:rRNA from 1 species
GCCAGACUCCUACGGGAGGCAGCAGUGGGGAAUAUUGCACAAUGGGGGGAACCCUGAUGCAGCGACGCCGCGUGGGUGAAGGAGCACCUCGGUGCGUAAAGCCCUAUCGGCAGGGAAGAAGGAGGACGGUACCUGACUAAGAGGCCCCGGCUAACUACGUGCCAGCAGCCGCGGUAAUACGUAGGGGGCAAGCGUUAUCCGGAUUUACUGGGUGUAAAGGGGGCGCAGACGGCAGCGCAAGCCAGGAGUGAAAGCCCGGGGCCCAACCCCGGGACUGCUCUUGGAACUGCGCGGCUGGAGUGCAGGAGGGGCAGGCGGAAUUCCUGGUGUAGCGGUGAAAUGCGUAGAUAUCAGGAGGAACACCGGUGGCGAAGGCGGCCUGCUGGACUGCGACUGACGUUGAGGCCCGAAAGCGUGGGGAGCAAACAGGAUUAGAUACCCCAGUA